UUCGGAUGCGAGUCGGAACAAGGGAAAAUGGUAGAAAUCAUGAAUCAUGGUAAAAGGAGUAAAAAGGUAAAUUAGUCAUGUAAUGACGAACAAAUAAAAACGGUUUUAAGUAAAACAAGUUAAAGGAAAACCGGGUUAGGUUUAAAGGGAUGAAAUGGUAACUAAGUACCAUCUCAUAUGGAUAAAUGGCAAAUUAGACUAAAUGGGUCAAAUGGUGUUGUUAGCACCAUUUGACAAUUACAUUUGACAAUCGCUUGUUGAGUUUUGUAAUCACAGGAAAUAACAUAAGUAUGCGUUGCUUAAACUAGAAAGCUUUAAAGCAAAAGUUAUGUAAACGGGUCAAUACCUUGACCCGAGCCAGGUACACUUUGGGAUGCCGGAAGACGAUCAAGCUCAACGAAGAACCGA
rnacentral:lncRNA from 1 species